rnacentral:snoRNA from 1 species
AAACUGAUGAGUUGCAUAGUUCAUAUGACUAACAAUGAUAUUUUACUUAUAACUUUAUGUUAUUGAAACUGGUCUUUCACCCCUAUCUGA